rnacentral:rRNA from 1 species
AAGCGUGGCAACACGCGGAGCUGACGAAUACUAAUCGGUCGAGGGCUUAACCAA